rnacentral:rRNA from 2 species
GAUGAACGCUGGCGGCGUGCUUAACACAUGCAAGUCGAACGGAGCUUUUCGGAGCUUAGUGGCGGACGGGUGAGUAACGCGUGAGGAUCUGCCUACGGGUUAGGGACAACGACUGGAAACGGUCGCUAAUACCUGAUGUGCCGAGAGGUGAAAGCUAAAUGUGCCUGUAGAUGAACUCGCGUCAGAUUAGCUAGUUGGUGGGGUAAGGGCCUACCAAGGCUUCGAUCUGUAGCUGGUCUAAGAGGAUGACCAGCCACACUGGGACUGAGACACGGCCCAGACUCCUACGGGAGGCAGCAGUGGGGAAUUUUCCGC